rnacentral:misc_RNA from 1 species
CCUAGAGUUGUAGGCUUUGCCUGCUAUCUCUUACCCAUGUCUUUUGAGUACCUUCGUUUCCUCGGCGGGUCCGCCCGCCGAUUGGACAAUUUAAACCAUUUGCAGUUGGCAAUCAGCGUCUGAAAAAACUUAAUAGUUA